rnacentral:lncRNA from 1 species
AUGUCCUCGUCCUCUUCUUGGGGGACCCAAAUUGUCCGACAUCCCAGGCACUAUCGCCGGCUGCCCCCAAGUCCUCCUUUGAGCCGCUGCAAUAGGGCAGGGAUCCUCCACCUGAGCGCGAGUUCCCUGAGGGGCUCAGCGCUCCCCUGGGGGCCAGGGGAGGAUCAGCACCCGCCGCUUACCUCCUCCAACCCGACCCCUGCACCGCCGCUCCCAGCACCCUGGGCGCGGCCACCUCCCGCGGGACCACCCGGCCAGCCCAGCUCCGGGAACCUCCACCCUGCGCGUACUCCACCGCUGGCCUGGGACACCCCUGGAAGGUCCAUCCCCCUAAAUCCUACAACUUCCAUACCUGCUCGCCUACAGCCCUGUCCUCUGUCUUUCCCGGGGACCCCGCCUCAAAGCCCGCCCCAGGAUGCCCACCUGCUGACUCUAGGACCCUGGCCCACACCCGGCAAGGGUCCUCCGCGGCCCGCAACCCCGCAGCCGCGGGCUCCACCUUUUACUCCAGAGCUGUCACCAGCCCUCUCCAGCCUGUCCACCCACGUGCAAGACCCAGAAGCUCCUGGCCCUCUCAGAGAAAUAGUAUGCUUGAGACACAGUGUUGAUGAUGAAGUUUCCAAAGCAUUUAACUGAUGAUAGUUCCCGAACUGAGUGUGUGCAGAAACAAGGCAAAAUAGGUGCUGUUUACCAAAAGCCACCGCCCCCAAAAAAGUUCCUAAUGGUGAACGGGACAUGCCCCCAUCCCGGAGCUCCUGCCAGUGUGCAGAACACAUACUUUGAGAGUGACAGUGACAAAUGUAAACACAGUGAGAGAAUGGAGUUCUGGGAGCUGCAGCAGGGCUCAAGGAACCGUUUUACAAAGAAGGCAGCUGGAUUUUGAGGCUUUGGAAUGAGUUUUCCAGAAAGGAAAGGAAAGCCCCCAAGAGUGGUGCAGGGUGAAGGUGUCAUUUUGCUGGAGAGGAUUAACUGUGCUUGUGGCUGGGAGGAAUCACUUGGUGCCUGGAGCAUCGGCAACAGUUAAUAAAUAUUUGUUGAGGCCAUAUAAGAAAGACUAGAUUACACUCCAUAACUCGAUGUUCCUCUGAAUGUGGGAGGGAAUAUUUUCUAAGUUGUAAGUUUAGUAUCGAGUGACUCCAAGGAAUGAAGUGAAGAAAUUGAGUUCUCUCUCAUUUCUAUUUCAUUCCUGUUGACUUUGUCUAGAAAAAAGUCUGACAGAAAUCAGUUGUAAAGGUGCCUGAGUGGCUAAGGUUUGGGGACAGCAAUGGGGAGGGCAGGCUACAGCAGAACAACCUGAAUUCCUUGGGGAACCUGGUAACACAGGGACGAUGGGAGGUACUACUGACCUUGAGACCUCGGCAGUCCAGGCAAGAGAGGCUGCAGGACCAGGGGACAUCACUGAAGGUUGUAUUAGUCAGGGUCUUCCCAAGCAACAGAACCAUGAGAAAAGUUAAAUGUCAAGGAACU